UAGCUACUCCCUCCAUCCGGAAAUACUUGUCGAAGAAAUGAAUGUAUCUAGACGGAUUUUGAUUUCAAAUGCGUUCAUUUUUAUGCAUUUCUCUGACAAGAAUUUCCAAACGAAGGGAGUAGAUA
rfam:Triticum aestivum genome assembly, contig: Triticum_aestivum_CS42_TGACv1_scaffold_222320_3B